rnacentral:lncRNA from 1 species
AGAGAGAGAGAGAUUUGUUUUCAGGUGGGGGAGCUGCUGAGGAAUGCAAGUUGUAUAAACCAAGUUUCAAUUUUAUGUGCUAACAUGGUAAACACUCAGCAAUAUCGACAGGUCCAAAUUUGAAAUGUUGCUCUUUAAUUCUUGGUGGGGGUGGCAAAAAAAAGAGCCUGUGGGCAACUUCAUCUGUUGAAAUAAAAAAUAUGCAAUAUAAUCAUCUUUCAUCAAAACUUAUCAAUCCAGAAAUAAUAGUUGAGUGAUUAUGCUUGUAUUUAGCCUAUCAACUGGCAGAUGCAUUCACUUUUAGCCUGGGAAGGAGGAUGUGCUGGGAGGGCUUGGCCAAGCGCUUCCCUUCCUUGUGUUUUAUGCAACCUUGAUCGGG